GUGCUCCCUUCAACAGCACAUAUACUGAAAUUGGAACAACGCAGAGAAAAUUAGCAUGGCCCCUGUGCAAGGAUGACACGCAACUUUGUGAAGCAUUCCGUAUUCUU